rnacentral:rRNA from 1 species
AUUGAACGCUGGCGGCAGGCCUAACACAUGCAAGUCGAGCGAGCGGCGGACGGGUGAGUAAUGUCUGGGAGACUGCCUGAUGUAGGGGGAUAACUACUGUAAACGCUAUCUCAUACCGCAUACCAUCAGAUGUGCCCCGAUGGGAUUAGCUCGUGGGUGGGGUAACGGCUCACCUAGGCGACGCUCCCUAGCUGGUCUGAGAGGAGGACCAGCCACACUGGAACUGAGACACGGUCCAGACUCCUACGGGAGGCAGCAGUGGGGAAUAUUGCACAAUGGGCGCAAGCCUGAUGCAGCCAUGCCGCGUGUGUGAAGAAGGCCUUCGGGUUGUAAAGCACUUUCAGCGGGGAGGCGUUACCCGCAGAAGAAGCACCGGCUAACUCCGUGCCAGCAGCCGCGGUAAUUC